AUCCAGACGAUAGAGAGAGCCUCCGAAUCGACGCGGCUGGUUAGGGUGAAAUAUUUCUGGGUUUGAUUCCCGCUAUUUUGAAGACAAGUUGGAGAUUAUUGCGCCGAAAUGAGUGGCUCUGCAAGCCAAUCUGUCACUCCCAAACCAUCUGCUGCUGGUUCGGGCAUUGAGCUAGAUGCCUCUCACUCAUACCAGAUCAGACCCAAAUUCGAGAACAAGUUUCGGCCUCAGGCUGUGAAGGAACAGAUCAGGAUCAUACUGAAUGAAGAAUUGGGCGGAAGAACGUACAAUGACAAGGAAGCCCAGGUUUGGAUCAAGAACAUAUCAGAAACUCUGAGAACAAGAAUGAAGGAGAUGAACUUUGAGAGGUACAAAAUAGUUGUGCAAACUGUGAUUGGGGAACAGCUUGGAGAAGGAGUGAAGAUGGGUAUGAGGUGCCUUUGGGACUCUGACACUGACACAUAUGCGUCAGACGUGUUCAUCAAUGACUCAAUGUUCUGUGUGGCAGCCGUGUAUGGAGUGUACUUCUACUGAACAAAGGAUACCUCCCUGCUGGCAACUCCAAUCCUGGUUUAUGAACUGCAAGUCUACAUUUCUUAUGUGUUCAUACUUCAUCUGUUGAUAGUGUUAUGGCCAGCUGCAUCACUUGAAAGUUGAAUUGCCAGUCUCAGAAAAUAGCAGCACAGGAUCCCUCACCUUCUGUCUUAACUCUUAAAGACAGUCAGUUCACAAGGUUUGAUUUGGUUAUAAAGCCUGAUUUGUGUUACAAUUGAACCUCAUCACUUCUGUUCAAGAAAUGGAGUGGAGAUUUGUAGUUGACUCACUUGGUUCCAGACCAUUCUUGUGAUGUUAUCAUUAUUUUGUGUGUUGUCAUUCAUUCAAGUGUAACUCCUGUGUGAUAUUGCAAUGUGAAUACAGUUUGAAUAUUUUGCACCAUAA
rnacentral:lncRNA from 1 species